GAGCCCAAAAAUUAUGGCCGGUUGACAUUUGUUAAUGGCAUCAAGGAGGCAAUUUUGGGGAAGCAGAUGGAAUCUCUGCAAACCAUUUUGAUUUCUAUGAAGAAAACAUGUGAAGAGUUUCAUGGUAUCGCUGUGUCUCUUGAAAAGAUUCUUCGGGAUGACAAACAACAAGUGAAUGGGGGUUCAAUGUCACCUGGCACGAACCAAAUACAAUUGCGUAUUGGGAUACGGCCAAGUCUAGCAGAUUGUUUGGAGGGGCUUAGACUAAUGCAUGAGAUGUACCACUCAGAGUAUCAACUCAAGUUAUCAAUAGUCUCAGCGCUGGUUUUGUAAAUCAGUGCAAGAAU